CAAAAACCUAACUAAAAGCAUUACUAAGUAAUGUACACUUUACACUCACCUGUAGUUCUUGUACAGCUCUGCAGUUCAAGCUUCCUACUGAACUCACAGUUUUAUGAUUAUUUCAAGCCUUAAUAUAUUAAUAUGGGAGUUUGGCUAAGGCUGCCAUUAGACGAUACCUAACCUGUGAUGCCUGCUUUUAGAACAUGUGCUGCUGAUAGGAAGUAGGAGAGCUGCCUGUCAGAGGCCAGGCCAUGCAUGCUUCCACUCCACAAACAGUUCUGUACCUGCAGAGUCCAUUUCUGCAUCAUUGUUAUACCAAUAUAAGCUUCUUAUGCCAAGAGUUGAGCAUGGCAUAAUUUAAUUAGACAUCCACAGAUUUGUGUUUCCUGUAAGGUAAAUAGUGAACCAACCCUGAAAGGACUGCCAUUCUACUGAGUCACAUACAUUCUCACCUCCGCGGUGGACCAAAUCUUGUGCAGAAACUGUUGUAAGCAAACAGUAAGUAUCAAAGACAAGAUGGAAGAAUAUGGAGACAGGUGCAUUUGACAAGGAAAAAUUCCUUACUGUAGCUGCAGUUUUGGGUCUUUUUGAAGGAGUAGUGCUUAUGUGUGAGCACACCAAGCUGAGCCUUCUCCGGAACAACCAGCUCCAGCCAGCUCCUGGUUUCUCCAAGGACUGCUCCAUCCCAUUACAUAGCUCCCCGUUGCCUUUUCCAGCAAGCAACAAUAUUACAGAAACUGGAUUGUGAAGAGAAUAUUACCUUAAAAAAUCUUACAAAGUGGUGUUCUGCAAUGCAUUGACAAGACCCUAAUCAUUAUCCUAAGAGGAAUAACUCCAUGUCUCAUCUCAAAGUUCAGUGCAUUCCCAUAUGAACAUAAGUUAUAAACAUACACUUCUGGAAAGAGCUGCCACCUUAUAAUUCUGUAACAUCAAAUGACAUGAAAAAUAUGUAUCCCUUUACGAAUUUUGCCAGGACUGUCUUUUAUAUGUUACUUAUUUAUCACACAUAUAAAUGAAUGUGGCAAAAAUGGCUCAAAAUUUUCUUAAUGGACCCCACUCAUAGUCUGUAAUAAUCUAUAAACAUUCUUACGGUAGUCAGUGGAGACAAAAAUAUUGAUGUUUUCUUUUUUAAACGUUAUGAAAUGCACAUGUAUGUAAUGUUUAAUAUUAAUGUAUAUUCACUUAACUAAUAUUUUCUGCAAGGAUUAGAGAUCACUUAAUACAAUCUGUUUUAAAACCAGGGCAUUUCUCCAGCCAAUUAAAUAUUUUUCAUGAAGCAUAACUUGUAUAUAAAAUAGUAUUGAAUGUAAAAUUUAUAAAAUACUGUGUGUCACAUGAUGCAGUUUUUCUUCUUUUAGCAGUAGUUUCCAUUCUGAUUGCAAUAUGUGGUCUUGUUUGUAGGAAGAAGUUCAUUCAUCACUAAUUUCCUGUUUGCAGGCUUGUAUACUUAGAAAUAAUAACAAUUUUUAUUUUAUUGAGCAUGUAACUCUGCAGAAAAUAUAAAAGGAACACUGUAUUUAAACGAUUAUUUCCUGUAAUAAUCUUUUCAAGAUGUUUCCACUGUACUAAUAAGAGCAGUGUAGCAUGAUGCAUUUCUCCAUGGGUUUACCACCAACUCAAACAUAUGUCAAACAGUUAUCUGCAGUUGUGUCCUAUAGCACAUAGUUUCUCUUUAACCCAAAUGUCCCAAAGCUCCAGCAACCAUUUUGUUUCCCUUCCUCUGCUUACCCACAAAAACAACAGUGCUGCUGCAUCCGCUUCUUUACAUUUUCUUCCUGCAUACCCACAUUAUUUUACAAAGUUUCAUAGAGAUAAUUCCUUUAGUCCUUUCACAUAAAGUUAUUUUGUUAAGAAGAUAUUUAAGAAGAGCAUUAAAGGAGCAAGUAAAUGAGAUUAGCCAGAGAUACAAUUAGUACUGCAGGAACACCACCUCCACAUUAAAUAGGAAAGAUAGGUCUCAUAGGUCUCUUCUCUCAAAGAGAGAAGAAGAAAAAAAAAAAAAAAAAAACUUAUUUAAAAUUUUAUAGAGUGUCAUUUUGCCCCACUUGAUAUUAAGAUGUUCUUUGUGUUUAUUUUCAUAUGAAGAUGUCUCAGAGACUGAAAACAGUUCAUAUACAUGCCUUCUGCAAAGAGCAAUGUACUUCUACAUACCUAACAUACACUGUGACUUUUCUCCUGAAAGGCACCCUCAGUAACUUUAUUUCCUAGUGUUGAUAGUUUCUAUAUGGCACCUGAUGAUUAGUGGACUAAAUAAAAUAAUAAUUGAAAAAUAGCA
ensembl:lncRNA